rnacentral:rRNA from 1 species
AUGGCUGUCGUCAGCUCGUGUUGUGAAAUGUUGGGUUAAGUCCCGCAACGAGCGCAACCCUUAUCCUUUGUUGCCAGCGGUUAGGCCGGGAACUCAAAGGAGACUGCCAGUGAUAAACUGGAGGAAGGUGGGGAUGACGUCAAGUCAUCAUGGCCCUUACGAGUAGGGCUACACACGUGCUACAAUGGCGCAUACAAAGAGAAGCGACCUCGCGAGAGCAAGCGGACCUCAUAAAGUGCGUCGUAGUCCGGAUUGGAGUCUGCAACUCGACUCCAUGAAGUCGGAAUCGCUAGUAAUCGUGGAUCAGAAUGCCACGGUGAAUACGUUCCCGGGCCUUGUACACACCGCCCGUCACACCAUGGGAGUGGGUUGCAAAAGAAGUAGGUAGCUUAACCUUCGGGAGGGCGCUUCCCACUUUGUGAUCAUGCCUGGGGUGAAGUCGAGACAAGA